AUACCCUACCAAGCAGCCAUCCUUAUACAAGAACAGAUAGACAGUCUCUGCCCCACAGAGAAAUAAAACAUAUACCUUUAUGACAAGUAUAUAGCUGAGGUAAGGGUUACUGCAGUACCCCCAAAAAAUCCAAAUACAAACAUUUCCUAUUGUGCUGCUGACACCUCCCUCUGUAGCUCCACGCAGGGUAAAGUAAUCCACAAAAAUAGAGAAAUAUUGAGGGCAGCGCAAAAAAGAUUUAUUUACAUUGACAUAAAGCAAAAAAGUUUCAGGUUAUCCUCAAAACGUUUGUACUUUAUGUCCUUGUAAAUAAAUCUUUUUGUAGCACUUGGUGUGCACAUUUGCAAUUGUUUGUGCUUCCCUCAUUUUUUGGCUAUUUUUGUCCACACAUACGUUUUAACAGACAUCAAAUCUACCUUCACUCAUCAGGUUUUGCAGAAAUUCUGACUUACAUGUUUAUUAAUGAUUGUUUGGAUUUAGCAUUGAUAUAAAAUAUAAGACAUAUGUCAAUAUGCUAUGUUUUUUUAUAAUUAAAGGAACACUCAAGGACCC